rnacentral:rRNA from 1 species
CAAUAGCGUAUAUUAAAGUUGUUGCAGUUAAAAAGCUCGUAGUUGGAUUUCUGAUCGAGACAUCAGGUCGGGUCCGAGCGGAUCAUGUACUUUGAUUUGUUUUGAUCAUCCUUGGGGAGAGCAUUUCUGGCAUUCAGUUGUCGGGAUUGGGAUCCUCAUCGUUUACUGUGAAAAAAUUAGAGUGUUCAAAGCAGGCCUCGGCCUCUGAAUACAUUAGCAUGGAAUAAUAAGAUAGGACUUUGGUGGUCUAUUUUGUUGGUUUGCACGCCAAAGUAAUGAUUAAUAGGGAUAGUUGGGGGUAUUCGUAUUCAAUUGUCAGAGGUGAAAUUCUUGGAUUUAUGGAAGACGAACUACUGCGAAAGCAUUUACCAAGGAUGUUUUCAUUAA